UACGGGGGGUGCAAGCGUUGUUCGGAGUGACUGGGCGUAAAGCGCACGUAGGCGGGCUUGUAAGUCGAAUGUGAAAUCCCCGGGCUUAACCUGGGAACUGCAUCCGAAACUACAAGUCUUGAAUGCUUCAGAGGUUGGUAGAAUUCCAGGUGUAGGAGUGAAAUCCGUAGAUAUCUGGAGGAAUACCGGAGGCGAAGGCGGCCAACUGGGAAUGCAUUGACGCUGAGGUGCGAAAGCGUGGGGAGCAAACAGG
rnacentral:rRNA from 1 species